AAACAGAUCAGUUCCGCUCAGGAAGGAUUUGAACCACCAUGUCUUAAAUGCAUUGAGCGUGAUAAUGCUACUUCUGUUGCUGAAUGUUCUACUGCUACUACUGUUGCAAUAUCUUCAACUGUUGAUGUGGUAACUAACCCCUCUGCUGAGGAUACCACUGCUAUUGCUGAUGAGAAUGCUAGGUUGAAGACAUUGCUUGAAACAGGGAUGUACAAAAGUCUUAAAGGGCAUCAGACACUAUGUGAUGUCCUCAAAAAGCAGAUUCUAAACCGAAACCCAAGGAAAGAGGGUGUUGGGUUCGUAAGGAAAACGAAUGCUGAUGGCUCUUACUGCAAACCUGAGCAGUAC
rnacentral:rRNA from 1 species